GCUACCGCCUCGAACUGUCGCAAUCCAAUGCGGCGUUCCCGAAAGGGAUAGGGGCGGUAGUUUAU
rnacentral:ncRNA from 1 species